rnacentral:rRNA from 1 species
UUGACCUCGAAUCAGGUAGGGAAUACCCGCUGAACUUAAGCAUAU